rnacentral:lncRNA from 1 species
GUUGAUGCUCUGCACCCUGGGGUUGCAACUCCAUGCACUGGGGAUGCUCUGCACCCUGGGAUCGACGCUCUGCGCCCUGGGGAUGCAGCUCUCUGCUCUGGGGUUGAAGUUCUGCACCCUGGGGUCGAUGCUCUGCGCCCUGCAGACGCUGUGCCCUUUCCCCUUCGUGCUCUGCAGCCCUCCUCCCGCUCACACCGCUCUCAUCCUCCAGGAGCAGCGGCAGCAGCGCGGGGUCCUCUCUGAUCUUUGCACAGAGCACUGCUGCAAACUGCACCUCCUCCUUCUCCGUGUCGGAGCUCUGGAGCUGCGCGCUGAGCUGCAGCAGCUUCUGCACGGGUC